GGAAGCACCUAAAAUGGAAGUUCUCUAGUUUUUAAUGCUUGAGAUACUCUGCUCAUUUAUUAAGAUUAUUUAUGAAGAGAUUAGUUAUAUAAGGUAAUUGAUUGUGAAAAGCUAUUUUCAGCAUUAAAUCAAACUUCAUUCUGAUAUUAAGAAAGGAUUUAAAUUAUUGAGCUAGGCAAAAACAUUCUGUAAGGUGAGAGGGAUUGCCCCUCAAAAUUUAUUUGCUGCUUAAAAGCUGCACACUGUGUUCCACCUUGAGCAUUGCAGGUAUUUUCUUCCUUUACCUGGCGGCUGCUUGCUUAUAGUCCUUUUUGAUAUAUGACUCGUGCAGAAGAAUGUUUCCCAUUAGGCUAUUUUGUAACAUCUUUCUGCGAAGUGCUCGAACAUGAGAGCUUGCUCCAGGAAAAGGGAAAACAAGCUUGUAGCUUUAGAGCUGGUCCACAUACACGUCUCCAGAAGCUACAGAUUUGGAACAAAUGUAAGACCAGAUCAUGUUCCUUAUAGAACAGUUUGCAUCCAUUUGAUCCUCAGGAAAGCUGCCAGCAAUCUUGCGUGAAGAGCCAUUGCAGCAGGAAGAGUUUCACUCCAGCACUGUUCCCAGUGGCUGUGUUGGGAUGGAUGGAUCCCAGUGCUCUGCCCUGUGUGGUCCUGCCUUCCCUGUGGAGCCCUGUCAGUCCAUGAGCCAGGGGUUGCUGCUGGGUUUGAUGGGUGCUGAGGGUGGGAGGACACUUUGAGGUAGGUUUGAUACUUGAAUGAACCUGUUCAGCCUGGUUGUUGGUAGGAUAUGCAGUCUGAAGGUGAAAGGCUUUAGACUCUUAUCGUUUGAGCUGUGCAGCUUCUCUCCUGGCUUCUUGGUGUUUACAAUAAUUACCUUAAUGGAACAGACCAUCAUCUCUGUGCUGUCAUCAAGUGUGCAAAAUGUUUGUUGGAGGGUUCAGGACUGCAAGAUUUGCUUUCUUGCAGCCAGAAAAGAAAUUAAUGAAAACAUUGCUCUAAUAAUCCCCAUCCCUGAUCUCUUUAAUGCAUCCUCAAAACUAAAUGCAUAUAAAUAAUUACCUGGGUUUUGUAAACAGAGCUAAGUAGAAAGAUACAACCCACUUUGGGUUCACCAACUCUGACAGCACUUCUUUUAAAAAAAGAAGUGUCUGUGAAACAACUUACUGUAACUCUUACAAGUUUGCAAAAUGACCUCAAUCUUCACAAAUGCUUGUUAAAGAAUUUUCUAAAAAGAGCAGCAACACCUGGAGACUCAUUUAUCACUGUCUCUGCCUACUGGCAAUCCCACCUACACACUGAAGAAUGACUGCUAACAUAAUAUUUAUGCAAUA